rnacentral:tRNA from 2 species
GGGCCUGUAGCUCAAUCGGUAGAGCAGCGGACUUUUAAUCCGGAGGUCGUGGGUUCGAUUCCCACCGGGCCCA